GAUCCUGGCUCAGGAUGAACGCUAGCGGCAGGCUUAACACAUGCAAGUCGAGGGGUAACGAUAUCUUCGGAUAGGCGACGACCGGCGCACGGGUGAGUAACGCGUAUGCAACCUACCUUCAACAGGGGAAUAGCCCAGGGAAACUUGGAUUAAUGCCCCAUAGUUCACAAGAUUCGCAUGUUUCUUGUGAUAAAGUUCCGGCGGUUGAAGAUGGGCAUGCGUGCCAUUAGAUAGUUGGUAAGGUAACGGCUUACCAAGUCUACGAUGGCUACGGGGUCUUAAAGGAUGGUCCCGCACACUGGUACUGAGACACGGACCAGACUCCUACGGGAGGCAGCAGUGAGGAAUAUUGGUCAAUGGACGCAAGUCUGAACCAGCCAUGCCGCGUGCAGGAAGACGGCCCUAUGGGUUGUAAACUGCUUUUUUACGGGAAUAAUGGUUUCUACGUGUAGAGAUUUGAAGGUACCGUACGAAUAAGCAUCGGCUAACUCCGUGCCAGCAGCCGCGGUAAUACGGAGGAUGCAGGCGUUAUCCGGAUUUAUUAGGUUUAAAGGGUGCGUAGGUGGCCCGGUAAGUCAGUGGUGAAAGUUUGCAGCUUAACUGUAAAAUUGCCAUUGAUACUGUCGGGCUUGAAUUUGGUAGAGGUAGGCGGAAUGUGUAGUGUAGCGGUGAAAUGCUUAGAUAUUACACAGAACACCGAUUGCGAAGGCAGCUUACUAUGCCAACAUUGACGCUGAGGCACGAAAGCGUGGGGAGCGAACAGGAUUAGAUACCCUGGUAGUCCACGCCGUAAACGAUGAUUACUGGUUGUGCGCGAUACACAGUGCGCGACUGAGGGAAACCAUUAAGUAAUCCACCUGGGGAGUACGUUCGCAAGAAUGAAACUCAAAGGAAUUGACGGGGGCCCGCACAAGCGGAGGAACAUGUGGUUUAAUUCGAUGAUACGCGAGGAACCUUACCU
rnacentral:rRNA from 1 species